GAUGAACGCUAGCGGCAGGCUUAACACAUGCAAGUCGAGGGGUAUAUGUCUUCGGGCAUAGAGACCGGCGCACGGGUGCGUAACGCGUAUGCAACCUACCUUGAACAGGGGAAUAGCCCAGAGAAAUUUGGAUUAAUGCCCCAUGGUAUCUUUAAGUGGCAUCACUUGAUUAUUAAAGUAACAACGGUUCAAGAUGGGCAUGCGUCCCAUUAGUUAGUUGGUAAGGUGACGGCUUACCAAGACGAUGAUGGGUAGGGGUCCUGAGAGGGAGGUCCCCCACACUGGUACUGAGACACGGACCAGACUCCUACGGGAGGCGGCAGUGAGGAAUAUUCGUCAAUGGGCGCAAGCCUGAACCAGCCACGCCGCGUGCAGGAUUAAGGCCCUAUGGGUUGUAAACUGCUUUUGUACGGGAAGAAACACCGGUUCGUGAACCGGCUUGACGGUACCGUAAGAAUAAGGAUCGGCUAACUCCGUGCCAGCCGCCGCAGUAAGAC
rnacentral:rRNA from 1 species